UAAUCUACAAAACAAAUGAAAAAAAAACAUCAAAAACUUACAUGCUAAUUAUAGAUGGGCGUGGUUAAGUGGGAGGGGUUAGGUGUGGCUAAUUUUUAACCCUUUCAACUAAAACUGCUCAACCUGCUUCAUGCCUAGCAAUAGGACAUUAAAGAAUGCUGGCCUUGCUGCUGGCUUCCUAACUCUCCUUGGAGCGGCUCUUUACUCAGUCAUCAUUUAUCCAAAGCUCCACCCUGAAAUCUAUAG